GAAACUGAGGAUAAUACUCCAUAGGCCACCUAUGCUGGAAUGCUUGGUGGCCCAAAUCUCUGGAGCCUUAGGAUGGCUCUGCGACCUAUCAGGUAGUAGGGAG
rnacentral:rRNA from 1 species